UAGAGUUAGAGCCUGGCUCAGAACGAACGUUGGCGGCGUGGAUGAGGCAUGCAAGUCGAGCGUGAAAGCUCCCUUCGGGGAGUGAGUAAAGCGGCGGACGGGGGAGUAACACGUAAUCCAGCUGCCCCCGAGACCGGGAUAACCGCGGGAAACUGCGGCUAAUACCGGAUGGCCUUCAGUUACCACAUGUUAACUGAAGUAAAUGGGGGGGAUCCUUCGGGACCCCCUGCUCGUGGAGGCGAUUGCGGCUUAUCAGCUUGUUGGUGAGGUAAUGGCUUACCAAGGCAGCUACGGGUAGCAGGCCUGAGAGGGUGGUCUGUCACAUUGGGACUGAGACACUGCCCAGACUCCUACGGGAGGCUGCAGUCGAGAAUCUUCCGCAAUGGGCGAAAGCCUGACGGAGCGACGCCGCGUGGAGGACGAAGGCCCUUGGGUUGUAAACUCCUGUCACGGGUUAUGAAUGCGCGUAUGCAAACAUUAUGCGUGUUGACGUAUGCCCGAGAGGAAGCACCGGCUAACUCUGUGCCAGCAGCCGCGGUAAUACAGAGGGUGCAAACGUUGUUCGGAAUCACUGGGCAUAAAGCGCGCGUAGGCGGCGAUGUAAGUGUGGAGUGAAAUCCCACGGCUCAACCGUGGAAUUGCUUUGCAUACUGCAUUGCUAGAGGAUGGUAGGGGAGAGCGGAACUCCUGGUGGAGCGGUGAAAUGCGUAGAUAUCAGGAGGAACACCGGUGGCGAAGGCGGCUCUCUGGUCCGUUUCUGACGCUGAGGUGCGAAAGCUAGGGUAGCGAACGGGAUUAGAUACCCCGGUAGUCCUGGCCGUAAACGAUGGGCACUAACUAAAGGGUCUGUCCUGAGAUUCUUUGGUGAAGCAAAUGUGAUAAGUGCCCCGCCUGGGGAGUAUGGUCGCAAGGCUAAAACUCAAAGGAAUUGACGGGGGCUCACACAAGCGGUGGAGCAUGUGGUUUAAUUCGAAGCAACGCGCAGAACCUUACCUGGGCUUGAACUGCAAUUGACGAGGGGAGAGAUUCGCUUUUCCCGCAAGGGACACUAGUCGAGGUGCUGCAUGGCUGUCGACAGCUCGUGUCGUGAGAUGUUGGGUUAAGUCCCGCAACGAGCGCAACCCUUACCCUUAGUUGCCAGCAAGUAAUGUUGGGCACUCUAAGGGGACUGCCGGUGAAAAACCGGAGGAAGGUGGGGACGACGUCAAGUCCUCAUGGCCUUUAUGUCCAGGGCUACACACGUGCUACAAUGGGCGGUACAGAGAGUCGCAAACCCGUGAGGGGGAGCCAAUCUCAAAAAGCCGUCCUCAGUUCGGAUUGGAGUCUGCAACUCGACUCCAUGAAGUUGGAAUCGCUAGUAAUCGCGGAUCAGAAUGCCGCGGUGAAUACGUUCCCGGGCCUUGUACACACCGCCCGUCACAUCACGAAAGUCGUUUGUACUAGAAGCCGGUGAUUUAACCUUCGGGAGAAAACCGUCUAAGGUAUGAAUGGUGAUUGGGGUGAAGUCGUAACAAGGUAACCGUA
rnacentral:rRNA from 1 species